rnacentral:sRNA from 1 species
GCUGGGUUUGGUGGCACAUGCCUGUAAUCCCAGCUGCUCAGGAGGCUGAGGCAGGAGGAUCAUGAGUUCAAAGCCAGCUUCAGCAAAAGCAUCUCAGUGAGACCCUGUCUCUA